AGUGAAGCGGGAUGAGCUCAAAUUUAAAAUCUGGCUGGUUUACUAGUCCGAAUUGUAGUUUAUAGAAGCGUUUUCGGUGGCAGCCUGGGUAUAAAUCCUUUGGAAUAGGGUAUCAUAGAGGGUGAGAAUCCCGUCUUUGACUCAGUGCAUGCUACUAUGUGAUACGUUUUCAAAGAGUCGAGUUGUUUGGGAAUGCAGCUCAAAAUGGGUGGUAAAUUUCAUCUAAAGCUAAAUAUUGGCGAGAGACCGAUAGCGAACAAGUACCGUGAGGGAAAGAUGAAAAGAACUUUGAAAAGAGAGUUAAACAGUGCGUGAAAUUGUUGAAAGGGAAACGUUUGACACCAGUUAUGCGGGUGGAAAAUCAGUCUUUUGCAAUGGGGAGUUGUGGGCGUUCAGACCGCAAGGCUGGCGUUUGCUUCAUCUUUGUUGUAAGUGAUGCACUUUUUCAUUUGCAGGUCAACAUCAGUUUGCUUUGCUGGACAAAACCCCAAGGGAAGGUGGCAGCUUAGGCUGUGUUAUAGCCCUGGGGCGAUACAGUGGAGUGGACUGAGGUUUCGCAGUGUGUGCUCUCGGGCAAGGCUGACUGGGUGCUAUGGGAUCGUUCGGCGUACAAUGCAUGCAUUUUGCGUCGUGUCUUUUUUAUACUCGCUCAACUCGGCUCUUCCACACUUAGGAUGUUGACUUAAUGGUUUUAAACGACCCGUCUUGAAACACGGACCAAGGAGUCUAACAUAUAUGCAAGUGUUUGGGUGGCAAACCCAUGCGCGUAAUGAAAGUGAACGUAGGUGCGAUCCGCAAGGUGCAGCAUCGACCGAUCUUGAUAUUUUUGGAUAGAUUUGAGUAAGAGCAUAUAUGCUGGGACCCGAAAGAUGGUGAACUAUGCCUGAAUAGGGUGAAGCCAGAGGAAACUCUGGUGGAGGCUCGUAGCGAUUCUGACGUGCAAAUCGAUCGUCAAAUUUGGGUAUAGGGGCGAAAGACUAAUCGACCAUCUAGUAGCUGGUUCCUGCC
rnacentral:rRNA from 2 species